GGGUAGUUUGACUGGGGCGGUCUCCUCCUAAAGAGUAACGGAGGAGCACGAAGGUUGGCUAAUCCUGGUCGGACAUCAGGAGGUUAGUGCAAUGGCAUAAGCCAGCUUGACUGCGAGCGUGACGGCGCGAGCAGGUGCGAAAGCAGGUCAUAGUGAUCCGGUGGUUCUGAAUGGAAGGGCCAUCGCUCAACGGAUAAAAGGUACUCCGGGGAUAACAGGCUGAUACCGCCCAAGAGUUCAUAUCGACGGCGGUGUUUGGCACCUCGAUGUCGGCUCAUCACAUCCUGGGGCUGAAGUAGGUCCCAAGGGUAUGGCUGUUCGCCAUUUAAAGUGGUACGCGAGCUGGGUUUAGAACGUCGUGAGACAGUUCGGUCCCUAUCUGCCGUGGGCGCUGGAGAACUGAGGGGGGCUGCUCCUAGUACGAGAGGACCGGAGUGGACGCAUCACUGGUGUUCGGGUUGUCAUGCCAAUGGCACUGCCCGGUAGCUAAAUGCGGAAGAGAUAAGUGCUGAAAGCAUCUAAGCACGAAACUUGCCCCGAGAUGAGUUCUCCCUGACUCCUUGAGAGUCCUGAAGGAACGUUGAAGACGACGACGUUGA
rnacentral:rRNA from 1 species